rnacentral:rRNA from 1 species
UACGAAGGGUGCAAACGUUGCUCGGAAUCAUUGGGCGUAAAGCGCACGUAGGCGGCCUCGCAAGUUGGAUGUGAAAUCCCUGGGCUCAACCCAGGAACUGCGUCCAAGACUGGGAGGCUUGAAUCCGGGAGAGGGAUGCGGAAUUCCAGGUGUAGCGGUGAAAUGCGUAGAUAUCUGGAGGAACACCGGUGGCGAAGGCGGCAUCCUGGACCGGUAUUGACACUGAGGCGCGAAAGCCAGGGGAGCAAACGGG